AUUGAACGCUGGCGGCAUGCCUUACACAUGCAAGUCGAACGGCAGCAUGGAAGAGCUUGCUCUUCUGAUGGCGAGUGGCGAACGGGUGAGUAAAGCAUCGGAACGUACCGUGUAGUGGGGGAUAACGUAGCGAAAGUUACGCUAAUACCGCAUGCGCCCCGUGGGGGAAAGCGGGGGAUCUUCGGACCUCGUGCUAUAGGAGGAGCCUGCGUCGGAUUAGCUAGUUGGUGAGGUAAAGGCUCACCAAGGCGACGAUCCGUAGCUGGUCUGAGAGGAUGAUCAGCCACACCGGAACUGAGACACGGUCCGGACUCCUACGGGAGGCAGCAGUGGGGAAUAUUGCGCAAUGGGCGAAAGCCUGACGCAGCCAUACCGCGUGUGUGAAGAAGGCCUUCGGGUUGUAAAGCACUUUCAGUGGGGAGGAAAAGCUGGCGGCUAAUAUCCGCUGGCCGUGACGCUACCCACAGAAGAAGCACCGGCUAAUUCCGUG
rnacentral:rRNA from 1 species